rnacentral:rRNA from 2 species
CGUGUAGGCGGUUUUGCAAGUCAGAUGUGAAAUUCCCAGGCUUAACCUGGGCGCUGCAUCUGAAACUGCAAGACUUGAGUACUGGAGAGGAUAGUGGAAUUCCUAGUGUAGCGGUAAAAUGCGCAGAUAUUAGGAGGAACACCGGUGGCGAAGGCGACUAUCUGGACAGUAACUGACGCUGAGGCGCGGAAGCGUGGGGAGCAAACA